rnacentral:lncRNA from 1 species
AUGUUUAGGUUAAACAAGAAUUUUUUGCUUUCUUCAAGAUUUCAGUUACCAAAACUUGCAAACAUGAUACUAGAUUAUUUUCUUUUUCUGUCUUGGUCUAGAUACACAUGGAGUUCUCUUUUUGGAAGUUCAAGGAAAAUCCCCAGAGUACAAGACAACCCUCAAACCACUCCCUACGUCUCCACUUGUCUUCUGUUUAUUCAAUCCGUCAUCCAGUUACACAGCAAGUACUUGAGGAUAUGCUUGAUUUACCCUUAUUUAUUUAUUUAUUUAUUUUGCUACACGUCAGUAUCACAUUCUUUUUGUGAUGCAGAAAAAUGUUCCAUGUGGCAACUUCAAAGACAACCUGCUGAGAAACCAAGAGAAUGCUUAAUAAUGCUCAUGAGCAGUGAGGCACGAAUGAGCAAAUGA